rnacentral:lncRNA from 1 species
GUCCUAGGCAACGACUGUCAGGAAGUUCCCAAAAUAAGUCACUCACAACCUCAUCGUCCUGGUUUGGACCUUUUGUCAAUAAAGCCACUAUGAGGAUCUGUGUGCCAAUCUUCUUGUGGAGAACUUUUUAUUGAGGAGUGGAACUGCCAGUUCCCAUGCUGGCAAGGCGAACCCAUGGGGCGGUUACAGUGUCUGCAACGCAGACACAAGCGACAGAGACUUGAUCAGAAUAUACAAGGAACUCUGCAAGUCAGCGAUGGUGUUUUCCCGGGCCCGUCCGCGGCGGCUGCUGAGGACCUGGGGAGACCCAGCCUGUAGGAUCCGCAGCUGCGGUGCGCGGCCGGCAGUGGCG